rnacentral:lncRNA from 1 species
GGCUUGCUCAGGUAACUAUUUUUUGGCAAAGAACAAGAGAUAUAAAAUGUGAGUGAAAACAUUCCAGGAGAUUAAAAUACACAUACAUGUCUUGCCUGGGCGAUUCUCUUCUAGACUUAUCCAUGUGGGCAGAUUCCACGACCCCAGGUCCAUCAGAGUACACUCCUGGAAGGCAUUCCCUUUGCCUUCCAGAAAUGAAACAAGUAUAGCUUAGUCACUGUGCCCUUGGUUCAGAAAAGCCUAAUGUCUUAUCUUGAGCGUGUGGCAACCUUCACUCUAUGUGCCUGCCCUUGAGCCACAUGUGGCUGGCCAUUACUACUUGAUACUUGAUGGCCAUAAUCAACAUUUUAAUACCUCUUCCUUCUUCUCCAAGCAUUCACCUCUCUACCCAGACAAUUGCUUGAUGAAGUUACCUGCCCUUUUUCUAGGGACAGUAGGGGUUUGCUGGGGAUGGUAGUGGUGGUGUCUCCUAGACACAAAAGUCUUAUUGCUCUGUACACAAAGCAAACUGGAUGUGGGUGAGUUGAAGUCAAAAGCUGAUAUCCUCAAACAAAACUGACCUUCUGGACACAGCCUUCUCUCUCAGGUAUAUUCUCUUGAAUGCUUCCUGCUGGACAAUACACAGGCUAUACGAUGCCCAUGGCAGAUGAGCUGCCCAAGGUUACUACUAGCUUGACAGCAGAGGCUUUGUAGAUUCUCUUCCUUUUCUCACUCCCACACUCAGACUGACUUGGUUGGAAAAGUUCUUAUAACCUGUGAGUAUUUUCUCAUCUGCUUCUGUUCUGGGUGAUGGUGAGGUCAGUAUUCAGGAACUGUAGCCAUCCCCUGCUUAAUCUUUAGUCUCUACCAGGAAACUGCAUUUGCAGCCCCAGCUACCCAGUUUCUCUGCUCCAGGUCCAAGGCCAGCUAAGUAAUUGAUUAACUCCUUCAUCAUCUCUACAGCCUUUCCUUUUUUUUUU